rnacentral:rRNA from 1 species
CCGGCACGGUGGAGUAACACGUAUCCAACCUGCCGUCUACUCUUGGACAGCCUUCUGAAAGGAAAGAUUAAUACAAGAUGGCAUCAUGAGUCCGCAUGUUCACAUGAUUAAAGGUAUUCCGGUAGACGAUGGGGAUGCGUUCCAUUAGAUAGUAGGCGGGGUAACGGCCCACCUAGUCUUCGAUGGAUAGGGGUUCUGAGAGGAAGGUCCCCCACAUUGGAACUGAGACACGGUCCAA